rnacentral:rRNA from 1 species
GACGAAGGUGGCGAGCGUUGUUCGGAAUCACUGGGCAUAAAGCGCACGUAGGCGGCGCGUAAGUUGGGUGUGAAAUCCCUCGGCCCAACCGAGGAACUGCGCCCAGUACUGCGUUGCUUGAGGAUCCAAGGGGUGCAUGGAAUUCCCGGUGGAGCGGUGAAAUGCGUUGAUAUCGGGAGGAACUCCGGCGGCGAAAGCGGUGCACUGGUGGAUUUCUGACGCUGAGGUGCGAAAGCCAGGGGAGCAAACAGG